CGAACAGUCAGCUUGCCACUACUACACACGCCGGCUGGACCUCUCGCUUGCCAAGUGAGGCUUGUGGCAGUUCGUCUGCGUUUGUAGAGGGUGCCGUUGAGAAAUCACCAACCACACUGGGACGGCAUCCCGGCCAAAAGUCCUGACCUUUUCUUAUGCGUGGACGGAUAAGGAGGAAAUAAAUUUACGCUGCACAGCUAACAACUAAUGUCUUCGGGGUUGAACAUCUAUGUGGAGCCGCAAACAUAAGGGGGGAAAAAGGAACUUUCUGUGACCAACAAGACUGCCAAUCGAAGUGAAUGUCAGCUAAGAGAUAGGGCCUAUUCACUGGCUCAGGACCCUGGCACAGGACUCCAAACGGCACGGCAUAUUUGGGGGGCCAUGACCCUGGAGAUGUGCGACCCGGCCCACAAGGCAGAUACACCUCUUCCGGAGCCCUCCCACCCUGUGGUGAAUGGAGGGGUUGCUGGCUCA